UCAAGUCUCUCUCUCCCUCUCUCUCAGCCCAGAAUCCGACGAGGAGAGCCGCCGUCACGCCGUCGCGUCGGCCACCAUACACGGUGGCCGGAAAAUUCAAAGGUAAUUUUUUUUAUUUCUAUAUGUUAUAUAUAUAUGUAUAGUUUAAAAUAAAAGAAAAAUAAAAAAUUUCGAAUACGAACAGUCCAAAACCGAAAACAAAUGAGAGAAAAAAAAGGACCUUUUAUUGCUUUUUCUUGAAUCUUUGUUUUCUUCCUUUUUUGAAUAGAUUUUUAAAAAAGAAAAAAAGAAAACCCCCCUUUACAAUAUGUUGAAUGGCUUUAUAUAGCCUUUUUCAUUACAAAUCCCCC
rnacentral:lncRNA from 1 species